UUUCUCCCUUUGGCACCGUUUGGCUGUCAUCUCAGAAUGGUGCGCCGCUUGGCAACCACGCCCUCCCUCCUCUCGCUUUUUCUUCUCUUUCUUUCGAUGCUGGUAUGUAUAUAUACCGUUGGUAGGUAAGCUUCCAUGCCUAAUAACUUCCGAGCUUGCAACUCUUAUCUGCCAACUCUGUUAUUGUUUGUAGUGUUAUUACCUGCAGUGAGGAGGUUUGGUUCUCUGGAAAUUCCUUCGCUUGGGUCUUAUUCUGAUGUUGUCUGUCUAUGUAUAUGUUUGAAUUUCUUGAUACUUGGGUGCUUCGAUGUCGAGAUGUGGUUUUGUAUGCGCUUCCUCUUGCCUUGUCUACUGUAAUCGGAUUCUUUUUUACCUAGCAUUUCGCCUUGGUUCUGUCCACUUUUUUCACCCUGAUUUUGGCAUUUCCUUUCGUUUAUUUUUUUUUUUUAUUUGGCUUCACUUUCCCUGGCAGAUUAUUUCUACAUGGGCUUUUUGUGCAAUUUCUGUGGUUUACCAAAUAUUUUUUUGCUCUAUUUUCUUAUUAUACUAUUAUCAUACUAUUUACAUUUUCUUCAGGUUCACCUCCUACUCGUUGUUGCUUUCUCCAUUCUUUGAGUUCGCAAUGUCACGGCAUGUCGAAUGACCUCAAGGCAAUCGUUGCAGCCUACGGCUAUUAGUGCAAAGUUUUGAUCCAUACAAUGUUCUUCAAACCCUUUUACUUUCAGGAAAAGAGGGGGGGAGCGGGGUGGGAAGGGCAUGAAUCUAAGGUUUGCAUUAUGUUUUUCUACAUAUUUGAGAUCUACUUGCUUUUUUUUUUUGGCACUAUUUUUUCUUUAAGUUUGGCACUCUGAAUAGUUCAUCUUUUAAAAUCCCUACUUAUGUUUCCUUACUGUUAGUGCAGGCAUGAAAGUGGUCAACAUUUCAUUUAAGCAAUUGCAGCUCGACAUUUUAUUUAUAGAACUAAUUACGGAUGUGUCCGAUCAACAAACUUAUAAGAUUUUACUCAUAUCAUAGAAAUGCAUCUAUAUAGUUAUUUUUCA